AGCAAAAAAGUGAAAGAACAGCAGGCAGAGGCCACAACACCACGUUUAUUGCUGACUGGCCCUGAGCUAACAUCCGUGCCCAUCUUCCUCUAUUUUAUAUGUGGGAUGCCUGCCACAGCAUGGCUUGACAAGCAAUGCUAGGUCCACGCUGGGGAUCAAAACCGACAAACCCCAGGCUGCCAGAGUACAGCGCACAAACUUAACCACUAUGUCAUCGGUCCAGCCCCUGACUUGUGUUUUAAAAGAAACCCUUUGGCUGUUGCACAGAGCCCAGUGAGGAGGCUAGUGAACCCACCCAGGUUGUCCUCUGAGUCUGUCUUGAUGAACAGAAGGCAGCAGAAGCGAUGCUACAUGACUUCUGAUAAAUCAUGAAGGACCACAUGGCUUCCGCCAGCUCUAUCUCUCAGGACACUCACCUUUGGAACCCAGUCUCU
rnacentral:lncRNA from 1 species